rnacentral:rRNA from 1 species
GAUGAACGCUGGCGGCGUGCUUAACACAUGCAAGUCGAACGGGCUCAUAUUGAAACCUAGUGAUGUAUGAGUUAGUGGCGGACGGGUGAGUAACGCGUGGAGAACCUGCCGUAUACUGGGGGAUAACACUUAGAAAUAGGUGCUAAUACCGCAUAAGCGCACAGCUUCGCAUGAAGCAGUGUGAAAAACUCCGGUGGUAUACGAUGGUUCCGCGUCUGAUUAGCUAGUUGGCGGGGUAACGGCCCACCAAGGCAGCGAUCAGUAGCCGGCCUGAGAGGGUGAACGGCCACAUUGGGACUGAGACACGGCCCAA